UACGUAGGUGGCGAGCGUUGUCCGGAUUUACUGGGCGUAAAGAGCGCGCAGGCGGUCGUUCAAGUCGCGUGUGAAAGCCCCCGGCUCAACUGGGGAGGGUCACGCGAUACUGAUCGACUCGAAGGCAGGAGAGGGAAGUGGAAUUCCCGGUGUAGUGGUGAAAUGCGUAGAUAUCAGGAGGAACACCGGUGGCGAAGGCGGUUCUCUGGGCAUGUCCUGACGCUGAGGAGCGAAAGUGUGGGGAGCGAACAGG
rnacentral:rRNA from 1 species